UACGUAGGGGGCAAGCGUUGUCCGGAAUUAUUGGGCGUAAAGAGCUCGUAGGCGGUCUGUCGCGUCUGCUGUGAAAACUCGGGGCUUAACCCCGGGCCUGCAGUGGGUACGGGCAGACUAGAGUGCGGUAGGGGAGACUGGAAUUCCUGGUGUAGCGGUGAAAUGCGCAGAUAUCAGGAGGAACACCGGUGGCGAAAGCGGCUCUCUGGGCUAUAACUGACGCUCAUGCACGAAAGCGUGGGGAGCAAACAGG
rnacentral:rRNA from 1 species